rnacentral:rRNA from 1 species
AGCGUUGUUCGGAGUUACUGGGCGUAAAGCGUGCGUAGGCGGUCGCGUAAGUCAGAUGUGAAAGCCCCGGGCUCAACCUGGGAACUGCAUUUGAGACUGCUCUGCUCGGGUGCGGAAGAGGGAAGCGGAAUUUCCGGUGUAGCGGUGAAAUGCGUAGAUAUCGGAAGGAACACCAGUGGCGAAAGCGGCUACCUGGUCCGACACAGACGUUCAGGCACGAAAGCGUGGGGAGCAAACAGG